rnacentral:rRNA from 1 species
UACGUAGGGGGCAAGCGUUGUCCGGAAUCAUUGGGCGUAAAGAGCGUGUAGGCGGCCUGGUAAGUCCGCUGUGAAAGUCCAGGGCUCAACCCUGGAAUGCCGGUGGAAACUGUCAGGCUCGAGUCCGGAAGAGGCGAGUGGAAUUCCUAGUGUAGCGGUGAAAUGCGCAGAUAUCAGGAGGAACACCAAUGGCGAAGGCAGCUCGCUGGGACGGUACUGACGCUGAGACGCGAAAGCGUGGGGAGCAAACAGG